UUGCAGAUAAUGAUUAUUUCCCCAAAUGAUUGAUACUAAAUUAAUUGAGCUGUCUUUCUUUUCUAAGAAUUCAAGCCAGGAAUCUGAUCCAU